AGGAGUAGUGGUAGAUGCCAAACUGAGAGAGGCUGCAAUUACUGUUAUUGCCAAGAUUGAUGAUCCUCUUAUCCUCGCCGCCGCCAUUGAAGAAUAAGUUUACCUACCAGCAGCAGUCUACAGCAAAGCAAAAGCGCAGAGAGACUUUUUCUUUCACUUCCGGAGGCUUAACCUCACUCCCGCAGCUAUUUUGGUCGAGAGAAAGGAGAAAUCGGAAGAUUAUGCUCAAUAGCUGGACUUACUUGCAAUUAUUAAC
rnacentral:misc_RNA from 1 species